GCUUUUCUUGCCUCCACACUUGUCAUACUUUAAACCAGUACCUUUCCUCUUCUCAUCUCACAUCUCUCUUUCAGAUUUUAAGUGCAAUAUUGGAUUAACACAGAUAAGAUGGUGAGGCCUGCUUGUUGUGAAAAGCUGCAUUUGAAAAGAGGCUCUUGACAAGAUUAGAUUUGAGAGUAUAAUUGACAAGAGCAAGCUUGAUGGUCAGCCAGACAAAAA